rnacentral:rRNA from 1 species
CCUACGGGUGGCAGCAGUGGGGGAUAUUGCACAAUGGGGGGAACCCUGAUGCAGCGACGCCGCGUGGGUGAAGGAGUGCUUCGGCAUGUAAAGCCCUAUCGGCAGGGACGAAGCAAGACGGUACCUGACUAAGAAGCCCCGGCUAACUACGUGCCAGCAGCCGCGGUAAUACGUAGGGGGCGAGCGUUGUCCGGAUUCACUGGGUGUAAAGGGAGCGUAGACGGCCAUGCAAGCCAGGGGUGAAAGCCCGGGGCACAACCCGGGGAGUGCCCUUGGAACUGUGCGGCUAGAGUGCGGGAGGGGCAGGCGGAAUUCCUGGUGUAGCGGUGAAAUGCGUAGAUAUCAGGAGGAACACCGGCGGCGAAGGCGGCCUGCUGGACCGCGACUGACGUUGAGGCGCGAAAGCGUGGGGAGCGAACAGGAUUAGAUACCCCUGUAGUC